UCGAGAAUUUUUCACAAUGGGCGCAAGCCUGAUGGAGCGACGCCGCGUGGGGGAUGAAGGGCUUCGGCUCGUAAACCCCUGUCAUUUGCGAACAAACCCUCACAUUGAACAGGUGUGAGGUUGAUUGUAGCGAAAGAGGAAGGGACGGCUAACUCUGUGCCAGCAGCCGCGGUAAUACAGAGGUCCCGAGCGUUGUUCGGAUUCACUGGGCGUAAAGGGUGCGUAGGUGGUGGGGUAAGUCUCGUGUGAAAGCUCGCAGCUUAACUGCGAAAAGUCACGGGAUACUAUUCUGCUAGAGGCUUGGAGGGGGGACUGGAAUACUUGGUGUAGCAGUGAAAUGCGUAGAUAUCAAGUGGAACACCAGUGGCGAAGGCGAGUCCCUGGACAAGACCUGACACUGAGGCACGAAAGCCAGGGGAGCAAACAGGAUUAGAUACCCCCGUAGUCC
rnacentral:rRNA from 1 species